rnacentral:rRNA from 1 species
GACCCUUCGGGAGCUUGCACAGGUGCUGCAUGGCUGUCGUCAGCUCGUGUCGUGAGAUGUCGGUUAAGUCCGCUAACGAGCGCAACCCUCGCUGUGUGUUAUAUGUGUCACACGGGACUGCCGGUCUUAAGCCGGAGGAAGGUGGGGAUGAUGUCAAGUCAGCAUGGCCUUUAUAUCCUGGGCUACACACACGCUACAAUGGCCAACACAAUAGGUUGCUAAGCCGCGAGGUGGCGCCAAUCCAUAAAGUUGGUCUCAGUUCAGAUUGUAGGCUGCAACCCGCCUGCAUGAAGAUGGAGUUGCUAGUAACCGCAGGUCAGCUAUACUGCGGUGAAUACGUUCCCGGGGCUU